rnacentral:lncRNA from 1 species
CUUGGAAGAGAGGAGAGUUCUUGAGAGAAAGGAGAAGGCCUCCUUUAUCUUCUGCAAGAGAUGAGCUGAUCUUGAAUCAUAGUUUCUUCAGUAUCAUAAUUAUCUUUGGAACUUUCAGAUAAACAUAGUUAUCUUUCAGUCGGUCCCUGGGCAGUUCUCUCUGUCUGGAAUAGACUUAGGUCCUAAGCCCCUAAGGGUUCAGAAUGCAGUGCUAGCUUGGUACCCUGGCUACCUUGGGCCUUCAACCAGAGAACCUCUGCUUCAGGAGCCUUACCCCCAGUGAGUGGGG